rnacentral:lncRNA from 1 species
GGGGGAUAGGAGGGGUCCUGAUCCCGAAAUCCCGGACUUAAAAAAACGAAUUCCCGAGGUCCCGAAUUUAAAUAAAGUAAAUCCCGAUGUCCCGAAAUCCGAAAAAAACGAUUCCCGGAUCCCGAAAGGGUCAAUCCCGAAAUCCCGAGCUUAAAAACACCCGAUCCCGGAGUCCCGAUAAAGGUCCUAUCCCCCCUCUUCUCUCUUUGACACAUUCCCCAUUUCUAAAAAAAAAUCUAAUAUAUAAAAAUGGUGUAGGGGGUUCUAUUAUUGCCCUCACCCUUUGAAGAAAUUUCAUGUUUUAAUGCUCAAAAUGUUCACAAUUGAAUUCCAUCUUUUAAAUUUAUUAAUAAUUUUUUGAAUUUUGAAAAAAAGGGGGGGGGGCACCAUGCCCA